AGACGCUGGCGGCGUGCCUGACACAUGCAAGUCGGACGGUUCUUGUAUCUUCAAGCUUGCUUGCAGGUGCAAGGAUAGUGGCGGACGGGUGAGUAACGCGUGAACAUCUACCCAUUGGAGGGGGACAACCCGUCGAAAGGCGGGCUAAUACCGCGUAAGCCGCGAGGUGAGAGGCUGCCUAUUGGUGGCCGCCGAUGGAUGGGUUCGCGUCCUAUCAGCUGGUUGGUGGGGUAACGGCCUACCAAGGCGAAGACGGGUAGCCGGUCUGAGAGGAUGGCCGGCCACACUGGAACUGAGACACGGUCCAGACUCCUACGGGAGGCAGCAGUGGGGAAUAUUGGUCAAUGGGCGGAAGCCUGAACCAGCCAUCCCGCGUGCAGGAAGACGGCCCUAUGGGUUGUAAACUGCUUUUCCAGGGGGAGAAACUUUCCGAUGCAUCGGGAUUUGACGGUACCCUGGGAAUAAGCAUCGGCUAACUCCGUG
rnacentral:rRNA from 1 species